GAACGACUCUCGGCAACGGAUAUCUCGGCUCUCGCAUCGAUGAAGAACGUAGCGAAAUGCGAUACUUGGUGUGAAUUGCAGAAUCCCGUGAACCAUCGAGUCUUUGAACGCAAGUUGCGCCCGACGCCUUCUGGCNGAGGGCAUGUCUGCCUGGGCGUCACGC
rnacentral:rRNA from 1 species